CCUACGGGUGGCAGCAGUGAGGAAUAUUGGUCAAUGGGCGGAAGCCUGAACCAGCCAAGUCGCGUGAGGGAAUAAGGCCCUACGGGUCGUAAACCUCUUUUGCCGGGGAGUAAGGUCGGGGACGUGUCCCGGCCCGGAGAGUACCCGGAGAAAAAGCAUGGGCUAACUCCGUGCCAGCAGCCGCGGUAAUACGGAGGUUGCGAGCGUUAUCCGGAUUUAUUGGGUUAAAGGGGUGCGUAGGCGGGCUUUUAAGUCAGCGGUAAAGAUUCGGGGCUCAACCCCGUCCGGUCGUUGAUACUGGGGGCCUUGAGUAGACGAGAGGAAGGCGGAAUUCGUGGUGUAGCGGUGAAAUGCUUAGAUAUCACGAAGAACCCCGAUUGCGAAGGCAGCUUACUAAACUGUGACUGACAUUGAUGCUCGAAAGUGUGGGUAUCAAACAGGAUUAGAUACCCUGGUAGUC
rnacentral:rRNA from 1 species